CGCCACGGCUGAACCAGGCGAUGCUAAGUCCGUGAAGCCGCCCUGGAUCCUUCGGGUGAAGGGGAGUGGUGGAGCCGACGGACCAGACUUGUAGUAGGUGAGCGAU
rnacentral:rRNA from 1 species